rnacentral:lncRNA from 14 species
GUUAUUGUUCUCAGGCAUUAGAGAUCAAGACGGACACAUCUGCUGCGAAGUAUUGAAGAUGAGAAGACCCAAGACCAGACCCAAAAGAGGCACCAGGGACCCUGGCUUUAAAAACAUCGAUUGCAGGAAAGCAUGGAGCUAAAUGUGGAAAAUGAUGCGUGGUGGAACAGCUGGGGC